CCUACGGGAGGCUGCAGUGGGGAAUAUUGCACAAUGGGGGAAACCCUGAUGCAGCAACGCCGCGUGCGUGAAGAAGUAUUUCGGUAUGUAAAGCUCUAUUAGCAGGGAAGAAGAAAGACGGUACCUGACUAAGAAGCUCCGGUUAACUACGUGCCAGCAGCCGCGGUAAUACGUAGGUGGCAAGCGUUAUCCGGAUUUACUGGGUGUAAAGGGAGCGUAGAGGGCUGUGCAAGUGUGAAGUGAAAGCUCGUGGCUCAACCGCGGAACUGCUUGGGAAACUGUAUAGCUUGAGUACUGGAGAGGCAGGCGGAAUUCCUAGUGUAGGGGUGAAAUGCGUAGAGAUUAGAAGGAACACCAGUGGCGAAGGCGGCCUGCUGGGCAGAAACUGACGUUGAGGCACGAAAGCGUGGGGAGCAAACGGGAUUAGAUACCCGUGUAGUC
rnacentral:rRNA from 1 species